AUUGAACGCUGGCGGCAGGCCUAACACAUGCAAGUCGAGCGGAUGAAGGGAGCUUGCUCCUGGAUUCAGCGGCGGACGGGUGAGUAAUGCCUAGGAAUCUGCCUGGUAGUGGGGGAUAACGUCCGGAAACGGGCGCUAAUACCGCAUACGUCCUGAGGGAGAAAGUGGGGGAUCUUCGGACCUCACGCUAUCAGAUGAGCCUAGGCCGGAUUAGCUAGUUGGUGGGGUAAAGGCCUACCAAGGCGACGAUCCGUAACUGGUCUCAGAGGAUGAUCAGUCACACUGGAAGUGAGACAGGGUCCAUACUCCUGCGGGAGGCAGCAGUGGGGAAUAUUGGACAAUGGGCGAAAGCCUGAUCCAGCCAUGCCGCGUGUGUGAAGAAGGUCUUCGGAUUGUAAAGCACUUUAAGUUGGGAGGAAGGGCAGUAAGUUAAUACCUUGCUGUUUUGACGUUACCAACAGAAUAAGCACCGGCUAACUUCGUG
rnacentral:rRNA from 1 species